CACGCCGUAAACGAUGCUCACCGGCUCUAUGCGAUAAGACAGUAUGGGGCUAAUAGAAAUAAUUAAGUGAGCCACCUGGGGAGUACGUCGGCAACGAUGAAACUCAAAGGAAUUGACGGGGGCCCGCACAAGCGGAGGAACAUGUGGUUUAAUUCGAUGAUACGCGAGGAACCUUACCCGGGUUUAAAUGUAUGUUGCAUUAUGUAGAAAUACGUAUUUUCUUCGGAACUGCAUACAAGGUGCUGCAUGGUUGUCGUCAGCUCGUGCCGUGAGGUGUCGGGUUAAGUCCCAUAACGAGCGCAACCCUUAUGAUUAGUUGCUAACGGUUCAAGCCGAGCACUCUAUUCACACUGCCACCGUAAGGUGCGAGGAAGGAGGGGAUGAUGUCAAAUCAGCACGGCCCUUAUAUCCGGGGCUACACACGUGUUACAAUGGUCGGUACAGCGGGUUGCAUUUACGUGAGUAACAGCUAAUCCCAAAAAUCGGUCUCAGUUCGGAUUGGAGUCUGCAACUCGACUCCAUGAAGUUGGAUUCGCUAGUAAUCGCACAUCAGCCAUGGUGCGGUGAAUAC
rnacentral:rRNA from 1 species